UCUUUGCAACCUGGCAUGUGAUCUACACUGACAACCAUCUCAAUCCAUACUGGCUGUGUUUCUGGUUCUCAGUAGCCACGGGUGGCAGGUGACCCCUGAAUUGGCCACUCAGGUCUGAGCUAACUUGAACUCCUAACACUAAGUCCUAAAAACAAUGGCAUGAGUAACUACAUGGUGGAAGGAAUAGGAGGGUUAACUUGUGGGUGUUCUUUCCUUUUUUGCUUUGUUUUCUCAGGGAAGAGGUGAGGGGCUUUGUGAAGGUGGCCUCCACCCAUUAGAAGGUUCGUCUGUUUGUCUUGGAGUCCUGGAGCACACAGGAGACCUCCAAGUCUUGCCAGGAAGUGGGAAAUAGGCACCCCUUUGUGUAUUAAGGUCAAAAAGGAGAAGAUUUGACAUGGGCCCCCAGAAGAGGACUAGGUGUCUUCAUGCUCAUUACCCAGGAGCACAGGGAAGUGGCCGUUGUCACUCUUUGAACAGGGCACAGAUGAGGGCAGUGUGCUCUUGCUGACCAGCCUUCCCUGCUGCAUCAGGACCCUGAUUCUCUCUUUCCAGAACUUACCAGGAAGAGAAUUAAGCUAAAUUCUUUCUCCUGCAGGGCUUUCAGCCACUCAGCAGAAGGAGCUGUAGGCAAGCUUCUCCUGGGUUUGCAGCCGAGCGAGUACUGACUUUCGGUGAAGGCCCCUGGGCUGGGACCAGGCAGAGCUGCUGCUUAAAGUUCUGGGGUUCCAUCUCCAGCAGAGGCCCCACCUUGCUCCUUUGGGCCUGGGUUGAAAUUGUCCUUCCCAGCCCCCUUGGCCUGGGGAGAGAGGAGGUUGACAAGGUUGAAUUUCCUGUAACCUGUGAUUUCAUGAGCCCUAGAAUAGACCUACCAACUAUCGCCUACCUCUGCCCUCUCCCAGCAUUUCUUCUGGGAGUGGACUUUUUCUCUACAGCCUGAUAGAGAAACAUCUGGGAAUAUAAUUAGACAGGUAAUUUUAUU
rnacentral:lncRNA from 1 species